GCGAACGGGUGAGUAACACGUGGGCAAUCUGCCCUGCACUCUGGGACAAGCCCUGGAAACGGGGUCUAAUACCGGAUACUGACCACUGGGGGCAUCCUUGGUGGUCGAAAGCUCCGGCGGUGCAGGAUGAGCCCGCGGCCUAUCAGCUUGUUGGUGAGGUAGUGGCUCACCAAGGCGACGACGGGUAGCCGGCCUGAGAGGGCGACCGGCCACACUGGGACUGAGACACGGCCCAGACUCCUACGGGAGGCAGCAGUGGGGAAUAUUGCACAAUGGGCGAAAGCCUGAUGCAGCGACGCCGCGUGAGGGAUGACGGCCUUCGGGUUGUAAACCUCUUUCAGCAGGGAAGAAGCGAAAGUGACGGUACCUGCAGAAGAAGCGCCGGCUAACUACGUGCCAGCAGCCGCGGUAAUACGUAGGGCGCGAGCGUUGUCCGGAAUUAUUGGGCGUAAAGAGCUCGUAGGCGGCUUGUCGCGUCGGUUGUGAAAGCCCGGGGCUUAACCCCGGGUCUGCAGUCGAUACGGGCAGGCUAGAGUUCGGUAGGGGAGAUCGGAAUUCCUGGUGUAGCGGUGAAAUGCGCAGAUAUCAGGAGGAACACCGGUGGCGAAGGCGGAUCUCUGGGCCGAUACUGACGCUGAGGAGCGAAAGCGUGGGGAGCGAACAGGAUUAGAUACCCUGGUAGUCCA
rnacentral:rRNA from 1 species